UUCUAUUCUCAUGGACACCCCUUGCUCACCUUGUGACUCCCCUUAUUGUCUCCAACCACCUCUGUAUUGUAGAUUUAGGUAUUCUAGAUAUAGGUUUACUUUUGUAGUAACAUAAUUAAGCUUUCCUUUCUGUAAUGUAAGAGUUUUUUCCGACAAGAGUGAAAAAGUGACAUGGACAAUCUUCGGUAUUUUAGACCGACAUAACAAAGAUAGUAACUAAUGUGUUGUUCUUACAGAAUCAUCUUCCUGCUAUAUAUUCAAAACUCCAUGCAAUAUAUAUUCCUGACACAUGGACUUGCAGGUUUGAUUACUGAACUUUACAAGUUUGAACUAUGCUGAACUUGUUGGCUUGCAAUUCUUUAGCCUUCAGUAAUUGAUCUCAAGUCUGUGGUUGGCUGGUUGCUACUUUAUCAAGACAACAACAGGCUGAAGGCCAACAAUAAACACAGUAGACGCUUUGAUUUGGCAUCUGUACAUCAGCGAAUUAUUGAUCUAGACAAAUAACAAUGUAAUUUAUAAUUUAUCUUUGACAAGAGUAUAUGAGCCUGAAACUAGACCUACCUUUCCGCCAUCCAUGCAUGACUAAUAAAGGCAUGAUGCUACCAGGGUUACAUUUUUCUGUACAAAGACAGGCGCCCAGCCUGUAGCUGAGCAAGAUUCUAGAAGGAGGCAAGGACAUCUCUAAUUUCCUAUGUCACAUGUUGCAUAGAAAUGGAGUUUGCUUCUGAAGCUAUUGCGAGCCAGAGAAUUCUACUUUUUCGGGGCAGCGAGGAAUCGUCCGUAAAAAAGCUGUAAGAAAAGUGACUAGCAUAGGAUUUUCAUGAAGUACAUGAACUCUUAUUUUCACGCUGGAGGCACGAAUCAUCUUUAUUGGUAGAUGACCUAUAGUUUAACCUGGCCGGUUUGUGCUUGGUGUUCUUUUAUUGUUUAGCAUGACAAGAUAGGAACUGCACAAUUUUUGUGAGUGGUAUACACUUCUGAAAUCAUUUUUAUGAUAAUUAGGAUAGAUAAUUUUCCGGUUUUGUCUGA